AUGAAAUGUUUUUCUCAUUUGCACUGCUCAUAUAUCAAAUUGUUUAUACUGCAAGUAUUUCUGUUUAUUGUUCUCAUGUUGCCAACUCCAUGUAUUUCUAGGUUAUUACAUGUCUUUUUUGGUAAUAUAUACUGCAAGUUCAUACAUACUGCAAGGUCAUACGCAUUUCAAAUCCAUAUAUACUGCAAGGAUUUAAAUCUUCUUGAGUUUUCCAAUCACAAAUAUCUUGCAUGCAUGGAAAGAAAAUUGGAUGUUCUUAAUCACAGAAAGGUGUUUUUUACACGUGCAGAGAAGCGCGGAGGACAGCUCGGUGGUAGAGGCGACAUACGAGGGUGA
rnacentral:rRNA from 1 species